AAAUUUAUUUAUAUAAAAAGGGCAGAGCACUUGCCAUACAAAACGAUUUACACGACACUAAAGCUAAAAACGGAAUAAAAAGAAAUUGAGGAGGUUAGAGAGCGACGUCAUGGAUGAGAGUAGCAGAAGCAGCAGCAGUUACAACAAUAACAACCGCGUUAAGGCCGCGGCAGAGGAGACAAGUACCCAAGCUGAAGGGAUCUGACAACGCAACGCACAAUGUGCCAAUUGGGCAGCUUCUGUACAAUCCAAUUGGAAUACUCAAUGGCAAGCGGAAAAGUGGUCAAAAACAAAAAGAAGAAAUGAAGGAACGCAA